AAGGGAGCUUUCUUUUGACAGU
rnacentral:miRNA from 14 species